UUUUUCUUUUUCAACUGGCUAGCUUCUUCUUCUACUUCUUCAACUGAAAUCUUCUUCUUCAACCGAGAGCUUCUUCUUCAAGGAGUUGGAGAGAGAGUUUUCUUUGCUGAAAAAUAGCAGGAUUCCAAGAUGAUGAAGAACCUUGAGCUCUGAUACCAGUGAUUGAAAACAGAGAAGAGAAAAGAUGAUAUCCUUGAAGGGGGGCUCCGGUAAUGGUUUGAUUCCGUGGCUUGGCACGCACAACUUAAUCUGACGUGAUCCAGCGACGUCAGUUUCUGGAGUAUCAGUCCAAGGAGAUCCAUCGGAAGCCCUCUCCGAUCUUUCUCGGCCAUUUUGUGGAAGGUCUGUGCCUCUUAAAACCAGCAGCAUAGAUACACACACGCUCAACGAUGAAGAGGUUUUGACGAGUUCAAUAGGUUACUGAUACAAAGUUUGGCAACAGCCUGUUCCUGAUGUAGUAGUGAUUAGGAUUAGGAUGUUUUAUUUAAUUUAAUCUAACUCCUAUAAUAGUUAUUUAUUUUUAAUCGUAUUCCUGCAGUAGCGAUAGUUUGGAUUAGGGUCAUGUGGUUUAUUAAUUCAACCCUAUUCAUUUGUUAACGAAACUACUCGAAGCCAAAACAACAAAAGGAAGCCAGCAUAUGCAAAAAUAAAAAAAGAGAAAGAAAAGGGUUUAUUUGCAAACCUGCAUCGUAAAUAGGAGGCGUGAACAUUGUGGGUGGCUGGCGAGGAAAAAAAUUUUCGUGGUGGUUUUCGAAAAGAAGACGGCGGUGCAGAGCUCAGGCGGUGACGGGAUACCUCGCUGGCACUUGAGGAGGAAGACAUUAUUGGAUGCACACUUAGGGUGAUAACUUUGCAUAGACAUUUUCUGCCUUCUUUAUUGGGCAUCGAAUCGAAAAUUUAAGGGCCUGCUAAUGAGGGUAAAUGGGCUGACCCAUGUAGUGCCAAAUUUCUACAACAUUUUAAUUUUAUUUUAUUUUAUUUUAUUUUUGGACAAAGGGCUUAGGUAGGCCUUGCGAUCAUAUGCCCGUACCGAUUUCAGUUCUUCUAGGAGAUUUGUCAAUUACAAUCCCGUAUCUUGAGGUAUGGUAUAAUUA